CUGAGCUAAUGAUGAUAAAAGUUAUCCCUGUCUGAACUUGAUCUUUCCUCUGUGGAAGCAUAAUUCUGAGGCUCAG
rnacentral:snoRNA from 1 species